CCCGCACAAGCGGUGGAGCAUGUGGUUUAAUUCGAUGCAACGCGAAGAACCUUACCUACUCUUGACAUCCAGAGAACUUUCCAGAGAUGGAUUGGUGCCUUCGGGAACUCUGAGACAGGUGCUGCAUGGCUGUCGUCAGCUCGUGUUGUGAAAUGUUGGGUUAAGUCCCGCAACGAGCGCAACCCUUAUCCUUUGUUGCCAGCGGUUCGGCCGGGAACUCAAAGGAGACUGCCAGUGAUAAACUGGAGGAAGGUGGGGAUGACGUCAAGUCAUCAUGGCCCUUACGAGUAGGGCUACACACGUGCUACAAUGGCGCAUACAAAGAGAAGCGACCUCGCGAGAGCAAGCGGACCUCAUAAAGUGCGUCGUAGUCCGGAUUGGAGUCUGCAACUCGACUCCAUGAAGUCGGAAUCGCUAGUAAUCGUAGAUCAGAAUGCUACGGUGAAUACGUUCCCGGGCCUUGUACACACCGCCCGUCACACCAUGGGAGUGGGUUGCAAAAGAAGUAGGUAGCUUAACCUUCGGGAGGGCGCUACCA
rnacentral:rRNA from 1 species